rnacentral:rRNA from 1 species
GGGAUGGACUCGUGUCCUAUCAGUUAGUUGGUGGGGUAAUGGCCUACCAAGGCGUUUGACGGGUAGCUGGUCUGAGAGGAUGGUCAGCCACACUGGGACUGAGACACUGCCCAGACUCUUACGGGAGGCUGCAGUCGAGAAUAUUUAGCAAUGGGCGAAAGCCUGACUAUGCGACGCCGCGUGAGGGAUGAAGGGUUUCGGCUCGUAAACCUCUUUUGUCAGGAAAGAAUAUCCUGCCGUCUAAUACACGGCGGGACUGACGGUACCUGACGAAUAAGCCACGGCCAACUCCGUGCCAGCAGCCGCGGUAACACGGAGGUGGCAAGCGUUACUCGGAAUUAUUGGGUGUAAAGGGCAAGUAGGUGGUCUGUUAAGUGAGGGGUGAAAUCUUCCGACUCAAUCGGAAAAUUGCCUUUCAAACUGUCAGACUUGAGGUAGGAAGAGGGAAAUGGAAUUCCCGGUGUAAGGGUUAAAUCUGUAGAUAUCGGGAAGAACACCAGCGGCGAAGGCGAUUUCCUGGUCCUAUCCUGACGCUAAAUUGCGAAAGCUAGGGGAGCAAACAGAAUUAGAUACUCUGGUAGUCCUAGCCCUAAACGAUGAGUACUAGGUGUUGGGGUCUUAGACCUCAGUGCCGCAGCUAACGCAUUAA